ACAUAUACUGAGUUAAGGCUGGGCGCCGUGCCUCACGCCUAUAAUCCCAGCACUGUGAGAGACUAAGGCAGGCAAAUCACCUGAGGUCAGUAGUUCGAGACCAGCCUGGCCAACACGGUGAAACUCUGUCUCUACUAAAAAUACAAAAAUUAGCUGGGUGUGGUGGCACAAACCUGCAAUCCCAGCUACUUGGGAGGCUGAGACAAGAGAAUCCCUUC
rnacentral:lncRNA from 1 species